rnacentral:rRNA from 1 species
UACGUAGGGGGCAAGCGUUGUCCGGAAUCACUGGGCGUAAAGGGAGCGUAGGCGGGUGUUUAAGUUAGGUGUUUAAUCCUGGGGCCCAACCCCAGUCGUGCACCUAAAACUGGACAUCUUGAAUAGUGGAGAGGUCAGUGGAAUUGGGGGUGUAGCGGUGGAAUGCGUAGAGAUCCCCAAGAACACCAGUUGCGAAGGCGGCUGACUGGACACAUAUUGACGCUGAGGCUCGAAAGCAUGGGGAGCAAACAGG